rnacentral:lncRNA from 1 species
GCGGCCGCGGGCUUGGCACGGGGCGCCUGGGGCCUGGAGGGGGCGCCGCGCGGCGGAGGAGACGGCGGGAGACCGCGCCGGACAGGUUUCUGGACCAGACCUAGAGCUUCACCAAGAGAAUUCGACUUGGAAACCAAGACUGGUAGACUCUCGUUUCUUCCGGCAAGAAGCAGAAGUCAGAGAGAGACUACGGAUUUUUGGGACACCUGUUUUCCUUUUGGAGGACGCUAAGUUCUUUGGGAAGACAAGACAGUUCAGUAUGGCAACAGAACUGAAAGAACAGGAGGGAGAGCCAUUACUGUGAUUUGGUGACAGUUCUUCAAACAACAGUGUCCUAAGGAAAAUUGGAUAAAGAAUUUCUGAACUUGUUUUGGGUUCGUUAAGUGAGGAGUCAGCAUGGCUCAGGUAAAAAGCUCUAGCGUCCUCCUUCAAGACCGUUCACUGGGAAGCCUGUUUGCAGUGUCACUCUUGAAUUCUGCCUUAGUCAACAGUAUUGGCCAUCCCCAGUGAGCCGAGCUCUGUAUUAAGCACCAGGGGGAGAUCUAGAGGAAGGAAAGGAGACAGGCCACAGCCCCUGCCUUCAGGGAGCUUCCAGUCAAAUGAAGGAGGCAAGUCUUCUGGCUUGUGAAGGCCUAGCAGGUGUGAGUUUGGUUCCCACUGCAGCCAGCAAGAAGAUGAUGCUGAGUCAGAUUGCCAGCAAGCAGGCCGAAAAUGGCGAGCGGGCAGGUAGCCCCGAUGUGCUGAGGUGUUCCAGUCAGAUGGACUGUAAGCCUAGAUUUGAUUUGUCUUCAAAGGGCCACCGAAAAGACAGUGAUAAAUCCCGCAACCGCAAAGAUGAUGACACCUUGGCUGAGGCCUCUCAUUCAAAAAA